rnacentral:rRNA from 1 species
UAGGGAAUCUUCGGCAAUGGACGAAAGUCUGACCGAGCAACGCCGCGUGAGUGAAGAAGGUUUUCGGAUCGUAAAACUCUGUUGUUAGAGAAGAACAAGGACGUUAGUAACUGAACGUCCCCUGACGGUAUCUAACCAGAAAGCCACGGCUAACUACGUGCCAGCAGCCGCGGUAAUACGUAGGUGGCAAGCGUUGUCCGGAGUUAUUGGGCGUAAAGCGAGCGCAGGCGGUUUCUUAAGUCUGAUGUGAAAGCCCCCGGCUCAACCGGGGAGGGUCAUUGGAAACUGGGCGACUUGAGUGCAGAAGAGGAGAGUGGAAUUCCAUGUGUAGCGGUGAAAUGCGUAGCUAUAUGGAGGAACACCAGUGGCGAAGGCGGCUCUCUUGUCUGUAACUGACGCUGAGGCUCGAAAGCGUGGGGAGCAAACAGG